GUGGGGAAUAUUGGACAAUGGGGGGAACCCUGAUCCAGCCAUGCCGCGUGUGUGAAGAAGGCCUUUUGGUUGUAAAGCACUUUAAGCGAGGAGGAGGCUUACCUGGUUAAUACCUGGGAUAAGUGGACGUUACUCGCAGAAUAAGCACCGGCUAACUCUGUGCCAGCAGCCGCGGUAAUACAGAGGGUGCGAGCGUUAAUCGGAUUUACUGGGCGUAAAGCGCGCGUAGGUGGUUAAUUAAGUCAAAUGUGAAAUCCCCGAGCUUAACUUGGGAAUUGCAUUCGAUACUGGUUGGCUAGAGUAUGGGAGAGGAUGGUAGAAUUCCAGGUGUAGCGGUGAAAUGCGUAGAGAUCUGGAGGAAUACCGAUGGCGAAGGCAGCCAUCUGGCCUAAUACUGACACUGAGGUGCGAAAGCAUGGGGAGCAAACAGGAUUAGAAACCCUAGUAGUCC
rnacentral:rRNA from 1 species